rnacentral:rRNA from 1 species
AUUGAACGCUGGCGGCAGGCCUAACACAUGCAAGUCGAACGAGUGGCGGACGGGUGAGUAAUGUCUGGGAAACUGCCUGAUGGAGGGGGAUAACUACUGGAAACGGUAGCUAAUACCGCAUACCCUCAGAUGUGCCCAGAUGGGAUUAGCUUGUUGGUGGGGUAACGGCUCACAAAGGCGACGAUCCCUAGCUGGUCUGAGAGGAUGACCAGCAACACUGGAACUGAGCCACGGUCCAGACUCCUACGGAAGGCAGAAGUGGGAAAUAUUGGACAAUGGGCGCAAGCCUGAUGCAGCCAUGCCGCGUGUAUGAAGAGGGCCUUCGGGUUGUAAAGUACUUUCAGCGGGGAGGCGUUACCCGCAGAGGAAGCACCGGCUAACUCCGUGCCAGCCGCCGCGGUAAUAC